AGUGAACGCUGGCGGUAGGCCUAACACAUGCAAGUCGAACGGCAGCACAGUAAGAGCUUGCUCUUACGGGUGGCGAGUGGCGGACGUGUGAGGAAUACAUCGGACUCUACUUUUUCGUGGGGGAUAACGUAGGGAAAGUUACGCUAAUACCGCAUACGACCUACGGUUGAAAGCAGGGGAUCUUCGCACCUUGCGCGAUUGAAUGAGCCGCUGUCGGAUUAGCUAGUUGGCGGGGUAAAGGCCCACCAAGGCGACGAUCCGUAGCUGGUCUGAGAGGAUGAUCAGCCACACUGGAACUGAGACACGGUCCAGAGUCCUACGGGAGGCAGCAGUGGGGAAUAUUGGACAAUGGGCGCAAGCCUGAUCCAGCCGUACCGCGUGGGUGAAGAAGGCCUUCGGGUUGUAAAGCCCUUUUGUUGGGAAAGAAAAGCAGCAGGUUAAUACCCCGCUGUUCUGACGGUACCCAAAGAAUAAGCACCGGCUAACUUCGUG
rnacentral:rRNA from 1 species